GAAAAAGUUCAUAAAUCUUGAAAAAAAAAAUCAUAAAAUACAAGACCAAAAUGGCUAAGUUUUUACCUUCUUUAGGGUUUGCGAUUGUCCUUCUAUAUCUCUUGUCAGGUAUGAGUUCAAUUAAUUUUUUUUUUUUUUUUUUUAUGGCCUAUUUGAUUGUCCCUUGUUUUCCCUAGAAGAUGGAAAUGGAAUUCAUUUUCUCACAAAAUGGCUUGUUUGAUAGUCUUUUAAUUCUAUGGAAUUGAAAUUCUACCAACUGCAGUGACAAAGGCUUGUUUGAUAGCCUUUUAAUUCUAUGGAAUUGGAAUUCCACCAACUGUUGUCACAUCAGCAUUUUCCUUCUAUUAAUGGAAUUUUAAUUCUCACCAAAAUGGUGAGAAUUUGAAUUCCAGCUUUUUUUUUUCAAUGGAAACAAAUUCUAAGAAUUAUUGUAAGAAAAUAUUUUCCUUCAAUUGAUAAUUUUCUUAUAAAACAAAGCAAAAACAAACACCAAAAGAUAAAUAAUUUUUUUGAUUUUUUUUUUUGGGUUUUGGCGAUGGAAACAAAUUUCAUCCCCAAUACCAGUAAAUUAUAUUCCUUUAAUUGACAAUUUUCAUGUAAAAUAAAGCCAAAUGAACAUCAAAAAACACUUUUAUUUUAACAUUUUUCACGUGAAAAUUAUACCAAUCAAACACAAUAAUUUACAAUUCCCAAGAAAACGAUUUCUAGACAAUUCAAUUCCCUGAAAUUCAUUUUCUAGGCAAUUCAACUCCAUCUUUGCAAUUAAACGGACUCUUAAUUCAAUAUACAACAAGAUGAGAUUGUGUUAGAAAAAUGUCAUAAAUGAAAUACCAAAAUUUAGAGGAAAAAAAAAAACUCUAAACAACAAAGAAUUCUGCAAUUUACAUAAAAAGUUAUAUUUUAAUAGUAGAAUUAAUGAGUCAAAAAAGUAUUUUAUCAAAUAUUUUAAUUUGUGAUAAUUAUAUGUGCAGGUUGUUGGGGUCUUGAGAAUACUUGUUUCAAAGAUUAUUUUCCUUACGAAAACUGCUUCGAGGGAGAGACUGAUUUAUGCUUCAAGUUUUGCAAGGGAAUUUACCAUGGAAAUUUUGUUAGUGCUUUUUGUCUUAGUAACGAUUCAUUCAAAAGCGUGUUUUGCAGAUGCGAUUAUAGAUGCAAUAUUGCAAAUCCUCCAGAGUUGGCUUAAAAUUUGAGAGACUUUCAUGAGUUCUGAAAUGAUUUCAAUUUUCCAUUUUGGGAAUAGAAUUGAAUUGCUAAUAAAUGGGGCUGUGCUUUAACUCAGAUGUAAAAGAUUUCUUAAUAUUUAUGAAUUCCUAUAAAUAUUAUGAAUUUGAAUAGAAUUUCA
rnacentral:lncRNA from 1 species